rnacentral:rRNA from 1 species
GAGUUUGAUCGUGGCUCAGGAUGAACGCUAGCGGCAGGCUUAACACAUGCAAGUCGAGGGGUAUAGGUUUUCGGACCUAGAGACCGGCGCACGGGUGCGUAACGCGUAUGCAAUCUGCCUUUUACAGAGGGAUAGCCCAGAGAAAUUUGGAUUAAUACCUCAUAGUAUUAUUGAAUGGCAUCAUUUAAUAAUUAAAGUUCCAACGGUAAAAGAUGAGCAUGCGUCCCAUUAGCUAGAUGGUAAGGUAACGGCUUACCAUGGCGACGAUGGGUAGGGGUCCUGAGAGGGAGAUCCCCCACACUGGUACUGAGACACGGACCAGACUCCUACGGGAGGCAGCAGUGAGGAAUAUUGGUCAAUGGGCGCAAGCCUGAACCAGCCAUGCCGCGUGCAGGAUGAAGGUCCUAUGGAUUGUAAACUGCUUUUGUACAGGAAGAAACAGUUCUACGUGUAGAACCUUGACGGUACUGUAAGAAUAAGGAUCGGCUAACUCCGUGCCAGCAGCCGCUGUAAC